rnacentral:rRNA from 1 species
GUGCCAGCCGCCGCGGUAAUACGUAGGGUGCAAGCGUUAAUCGGAAUUACUGGGCGUAAAGCGUGCGCAGGCGGUUUUGUAAGUUUGUCGUGAAAGCCCCGGGCUCAACCUGGGAAUUGCGAUGAAGACUGCAAGGCUUGAAUCUGGCAGAGGGGGGUAGAAUUCCACGUGUAGCAGUGAAAUGCGUAGAGAUGUGGAGGAACACCGAUGGCGAAGGCAGCCCCCUGGGUCAAGAUUGACGCUCAUGCACGAAAGCGUGGGGAGCAAACAGGAUUAGAUACCCGAGUAGUCC